UCUCCUGGAAACGGGUGGUAAUGCCGGAUGCUCCGACUCCUCGCAUGGGGUGUCGGGAAAGAUUUCAUCGGUAUGGGAUGGGGUCGCGUCCUAUCAGGUAGUCGGCGGGGUAACGGCCCACCGAGCCUACGACGGGUAGCCGGCCUGAGAGGGCGACCGGCCACAUUGGGACUGAGAUACGGCCCAGACUCCUACGGGAGGCAGCAGUGGGGAAUAUUGCACAAUGGGCGCAAGCCUGAUGCAGCGACGCCGCGUGCGGGAUGACGGCCUUCGGGUUGUAAACCGCUUUUGAUCGGGAGCAAGCCUUCGGGUGAGUGUACCUUUCGAAUAAGCACCGGCUAACUACGUGCCAGCAGCCGCGGUAAUACGUAGGGUGCAAGCGUUAUCCGGAAUUAUUGGGCGUAAAGGGCUCGUAGGCGGUUCGUCGCGUCCGGUGUGAAAGUCCAUCGCUUAACGGUGGAUCUGCGCCGGGUACGGGCGGGCUGGAGUGCGGUAGGGGAGACUGGAAUUCCCGGUGUAACGGUGGAAUGUGUAGAUAUCGGGAAGAACACCAAA
rnacentral:rRNA from 1 species